CCGUGUUCCUCUCUCCCCACUUUGCCCUGUCCUUCCCUUGUUCUUCUCUUCCUUCCCUGUCCUUCUUUGGCUUUGCUACCUCUCUUCCCUUCCCAUUGUUUUUCCUCCCCCCUCCUAGGUUCUCACAUCGCUUUCCUGUUUCCCUCUCCUGCAAUAUGGAUUUGACAUAUUAAUCAUUACAGCAACUGCUAAAAUUCCACUGUGCUUCAUUAAUCCGGAGGAAAAUACCAUGUCAGCUGGAACUUACUGUGUCUCUGUUUGAUUGAGCCUGGGCAUGAGAUAAAACACGAGGUCAUCUGCAAUGGCACUGGUGCUGUGGCUGUAUCAGCAUGGCUCUGAUGUCCCUUCGGGGCAGGCAACAGUUCAGGGAGGACUUACAAGCAAGCUCUGGAACUUGAAGUCUCAAGAGAUGACAAAUAGUCAAUUCUCAAAAAAUGAAGAAAAGAAAAACUUGUUUCUUCAUGUUUGCUAACCCUAUCUAUAUCUAUGGUUUUGGCCAAUAAAUUCACUGUGUUUAAAUCC
rnacentral:lncRNA from 1 species